UGGGGAAUUUUGCACAAUGGGCGCAAGCCUGAUGCAGCGACGCCGCGUGAGGGAUGAAUGCCUUCGGGUUGUAAACCUUUUUCGCUCAUGGUCAAGCCGCAGCUUUGGGUUGUGGUGAGGGUAGUGGGUAAAGAAGCGCCGGCUAACUACGUGCCAGCAGCCGCGGUAAUACGUAGGGCGCGAGCGUUGUCCGGAAUUAUUGGGCGUAAAGGGCUUGUAGGCGGUUGGCCGCGUCUGCCGUGAAAUCCUCUGGCUUAACUGGGGGCGUGCGGUGGGUACGGGUUGACUUGAGUGCGGUAGGGGAGACUGGAAUUCCUGGUGUAGCGGUGGAAUGCGGAGAUAUCAGGAGGAACACCGGUGGCGAAGGCGGGUCUCUGGGCCGUUACUGACGCUGAGGAGCGAAAGCGUGGGGAGCGAACAGG
rnacentral:rRNA from 1 species